UACGUAGGGUCCGAGCGUUGUCCGGAGAUACUGGGCGUAAAGCGCGCGCAGGCGGCGGUGCUGGCCCGGCGUGAAAGCCCCCGGCUCAACCGGGGAGGGUCGUCGGGGACCGCACCGCUUGAGGGCGGUAGGGGCUGGUGGAAUGCCUGGUGUAGUGGUGAAAUGCGUAGAGAUCAGGCGGAACACCCGUGGCGAAGGCGGCCAGCUGGGCCGUCCCUGACGCUGAGGCGCGAAGGCGUGGGGAGCGAACGGG
rnacentral:rRNA from 1 species